rnacentral:tRNA from 1 species
CGGGCUAAUAGUUUAAUUAAAAUUUUGGCAUUGGAAGCUAAGGAUUGGAGUUUUUGUCUCUAUUGCUCGA